rnacentral:rRNA from 1 species
CGUACAGGUCUCCGUAGGUGAACCUGCGGAGGGAUCAUUACACAAAUAUGAAGGCGGGCUGGAACCUCUCGGGGUUACAGCCUUGCUGAAUUAUUCACCCUUGUCUUUUGCGUACUUCUUGUUUCCUUGGUGGGUUCGCCCACCACUAGGACAAACAUAAACCUUUUGUAAUUGCAAUCAGCGUCAGUAACAAAUUAAUAAUUACAACUUUCAACAACGGAUCUCUUGGUUCUGGCAUCGAUGAAGAACGCAGCGAAAUGCGAUAAGUAGUGUGAAUUGCAGAAUUCAGUGAAUCAUCGAAUCUUUGAACGCACAUUGCGCCCUUUGGUAUUCCAAAGGGCAUGCCUGUCCGAGCGUCAUUUGUACCCUCAAGCUUUGCUUGGUGUUGGGCGUCUUGUCUCUAGCUUUGCUGGAGACUCGCCUUAAAGUAAUUGGCAGCCGGCCUACUGGUUUCGGAGCGCAGCACAAGUCGCACUCUCUAUCAGCAAAGGUCUAGCAUCCAUUAAGCCUUUUUUUCAACUUUUGACCUCGGAUCAGGUAGGGAUACCCGCUGAACUUAA